AGUUCUUGAAACAGCACUGUAGAGGACUUGAGGCCAUCCGUUGCAGAAACACAGACACACAAAAACGUAUGGAAUAUGCAGGUCUCCUUAUCAAGUUCAAUUUUCCAUGUCUUUUUUUCUUGGGAAACUAAAUAAAAUCAAACACAAAUAUUUUAUCAAGGAAUAGGAAUUGCUUUGUCCAGUUGACUUUCUCGAGAAAACCCAUGUUGGCUGUCAACUUGUUUCAUGGGUCGUUGUUGCCGUACUAUUUAUGAUAAGACUUCAGAGAUCUCCUCCUCCUCCAUGAAUGUCAAAGCUUCUUCAAAUUCUGGUCUAUGAACCCAAUUGAUGAAACAGUAGCAGUUUCAAAAAUGACUGUAGGGAAUCAAGACGUGAAAAAGAAGUCUUUUAUCCAUAAGAUUUUCACCAUGAAGGAGAGAGACGGAAGUGGCUCAUCUGAUUUCCCUG